rnacentral:rRNA from 1 species
AACGAACGCUGGCGGCAUGCCUAACACAUGCAAGCCGAACGAGACCUUCGGGUCUAGUGGCGCACGGGUGCGUAACGCGUGGGAACCUGCCCUUAGGUUCGGAAUAACUCCCCGAAAGGGGUGCUAAUACCGGAUAAUGUCUUCGGACCAAAGAUUUAUCGCCAUUGGAUGGGCCCGCGUUGGAUUAGCUAGUUGGUAGGGUAAACGCCUACCAAGGCGACGAUCCAUAGCUGGUCUGGGAGGAUGGUCAGGCACACUGGGACUGAGACACGGCCCAGACUCGUACGGGAGGCAGCAGUGGGGAAUAUUGGACAAUGGGCGAAAGCCUAAUCCAGCAGUGCCGCGUGAGUGAUGAAGGCCUUGGGGUUGUAAAGCUCUUUUACCGGGGAUGAUAAUGACGGUACCGGAAGAAUAAGCACCGGCUAACUCCGUG